AAUUUUGGACAAUGGGCGAAAGCCUGAUCCAGCAAUGCCGCGUGUGCGAAGAAGGCCUUCGGGUUGUAAAGCACUUUUGUCAGGGAAGAAAUUGCCUGGGUUAAUACCCCGGGUCGUUGACGGUACCUGAAGAAUAAGCACCGGCUAACUACGUGCCAGCAGCCGCGGUAAUACGUAGGGUGCAAGCGUUAAUCGGAAUUACUGGGCGUAAAGCGUGCGCAGGUGGUUCGUUAAGACAGUUGUGAAAUCCCCGGGCUCAACCUGGGAACUGCAAUUGUGACUGGCGGACUAGAGUUUGGCAGAGGGGGGUGGAAUUCCUGGUGUAGCAGUGAAAUGCGUAGAUAUCAGGAGGAACACCGAUGGCGAAGGCAGCCCCCUGGGCCACGACUGACACUCAUGCACGAAAGCGUGGGGAGCAAACAGGAUUAGAUACCCUGGUAGUCCACGCCCUAAACGAUGUCUACUAGUUGUUGGGUCUUCAUUGACUUAGUAACGAAGCUAACGCGUGAAGUAGACCGCCUGGGGAGUACGGCCG
rnacentral:rRNA from 1 species